rnacentral:misc_RNA from 1 species
AACCGCCGUAUGCCGAACGGCAUGUACGGUGGUGUGAGAUUGUGCCACGAGAAGCAUCAGCUAAAGUGCUUCGCAACUAUAU